UGGGGAAUUUUGGACAAUGGGGGCAACCCUGAUCCAGCAAUGCCGCGUGUGUGAAGAAGGCCUUCGGGUUGUAAAGCACUUUUGUCCGGGAAGAAAUCCCCUGCCCUAAUACGGCGGGGGAUGACGGUACCGGAAGAAUAAGCACCGGCUAACUACGUGCCAGCAGCCGCGGUAAUACGUAGGGUGCGAGCGUUAAUCGGAAUUACUGGGCGUAAAGCGUGCGCAGGCGGUGAUGUAAGACCGAUGUGAAAUCCCCGGGCUCAACCUGGGAACUGCAUUGGUGACUGCAUUGCUCGAGUAUGGCAGAGGGGGGUGGAAUUCCACGUGUAGCAGUGAAAUGCGUAAGAGAUGUGGAGGAACACCGAUGGCGAAGGCAGCCCCCUGGGCCAAUACUGACGCUCAUGCACGAAAAGCGUGGGGGAGCAAAACAGGAUUAGAUACCCUGGUAGUCCACGCCCUAAAACGAUGUCAACUGGUUGUCGGGCCUUCAUUGGCUUGGUAACGUAGCUAACGCGUGAAGCUGACCGCCUGGGGGA
rnacentral:rRNA from 1 species